UCUUCUCCUAGUUUCUUUAUCAUUGUGGACUGACGUUUUUGCAAAGUUCAUUUUCAGUUUCUAUUUUAUUUUUCCAGUGUUGGGGAAAGGUCUCAAGUAAGACAGAGAAGGCAGAAAUUCACCAGCAAAUCCAAACUGGGGAAAUCCCAGAGUUGAAGACAAGAAACUUAAGAAAACCUUACAAAAAGAAACAUGCUUGGGGCUACUCUUGUUUGCUGGUAGAAUGAUCUGUAGAAAAUUCUGAGAUAAGGUGUUAAAAGUAAGAAAAUGCAGGCAUAAUUAUGAUCAGACUGUCAACUUUCCCCUUGUCUAAUGGGAGCCAAAGAAUGAUGUUUUAAUGCUCAGCUUCUAGAUGAAAUAUGUAUUAGCAAACUAUUCUAGGCCUUUAUAUUCCUUUAUUUUUGUUUUCAAAAAUUCCCAUGACAAUAUUCUGGCAUCCAUGCCACAUGAGGAUACAUUUCGUGCCAAAACAAGCUUAGGAAAUCUGCAGUUUAAAGGAGGAAGGUAUGCUGCAGCUGAGAGCAGACGCUUCUAAGGCAUCUUGGGAAGGCAUUGUUCCUGAGAGUAGCUUCAAUAAGCCACGUGGAUGCAAUUAUCCAGCUCAGGGGUUGUUUCUUAUGGAAUCCAACCUAUGACUGUUGACGCCAGGAGUGGUCCUGGGAAGGAGACUCUGAAAAUUUUGGAGCUGGCUGGGAAUAAGAGUCCUGUUGCUGUUGAUAUCUGAGAGCAACCUUCUGCCAGGAUUUGCCCUGCCCACAGGCGUUAGCAUGGACUUGAUGACUGCGGUGUGGCUUUUACUUUCUCAAUUUUCCAGAGCUCAUACUCCUCAAACUCCAGAGGAAUAAGAUGGCCAGCAGUCAGGAAGGAGAUUUGAAUGUGGAGCACAGCAGAGUGAGCACGAGCUGAAACCCUCCAAGCAUAUUUUCAUCACUGUAUUGCCUGUGAACAUCUUCAGAGUGUGAUGACUCCUACUUCCUCUGAAUCUCAUGUGAGUUCCUCUUUUGGCAGCUCUAACUCUAACCUUACAGGAAAGGGGAAUAUAGAAAACACAGUUCCCAGAAAGAACUAGUUCCAACCAGUCGAUUGAACCACUCAGCACAGCUUCUAAAAGAGGACUCCCUGGACUGUUAGGGUCUUGGAAACCAUGUCACACAAAAAUUGUCUCAUGUAACUGAAGAUAAUCAUUCUGGAGAGCAGAGGAUUAAAAAGAGGCAUGCCAUUAAAUAUUAGAAACACUUCUGUGUCGAAGACAAAAAUUGACUUACACCUAUAAAUUCUUCAGAUUUUCUCUCCUAAAUUCUAUGGAAAUGUAUCAAUAUUUUCACUGAUUAAAAUUUUUUUCCCACCUGUUCAAACUCUUCGAGUCUUAAUUAGGAUGGAUGAGUGGAAGUUACAGGGACUCCAAUUUCAAUGCCACAUAAGAGGGAAUGUUCUAACAUCUAGAAUUGUG
rnacentral:lncRNA from 1 species